GGGGGGGGGGGGCGGGGGGGGGGAGGGGGGGAGGGCGGGCGAGGGGGGGGGGGGUGGGGGCGCAGGGGGGCGGAAGGCGGGGGAAGCUGCCCGGAGGGUCGGGGGAACUCCCCGAAGGGGGUGCUAAUACCGGAUAAUGUCUUCGGACCAAAGAUUUAUCGCCUUUGGAUGGGCCCGCGUUGGAUUAGCUAGUUGGUAGGGUAAAAGCCUACCAAGGCGACGAUCCAUAGCUGGUCUGUGAGGAUGAUCAGCCACACUGGGACUGAGACACGGCCCAGACUCCUACGGGAGGCAGCAGUGGGGAAUAUUGGACAAUGGGCGAAAGCCUGAUCCAGCAAUGCCGCGUGAGUGAUGAAGGCCUUAGGGUUGUAAAGCUCUUUUAACCGGGAUGAUAAUGACAGUACCGGGAGAAUAAGCUCCGGCUAACUCCGUG
rnacentral:rRNA from 1 species